UACGUAGGGUGCGAGCGUUAAUCGGAAUUACUGGGCGUAAAGCGCACGUAGGCGGACUAUUAAGUCAGGGGUGAAAUCCCGGGGCUCAACCCCGGAACUGCCUUUGAUACUGGUAGUCUCGAGUCCGGAAGAGGUGAGUGGAAUUCCGAGUGUAGAGGUGAAAUUCGUAGAUAUUCGGAGGAACACCAGUGGCGAAGGCGGCUCACUGGUCCGGUACUGACGCUGAGGUGCGAAAGCGUGGGGAGCGAACAGG
rnacentral:rRNA from 1 species